rnacentral:rRNA from 1 species
GUCCUUUUGAAUAUAAUUUAAGGUCUAGCCUGCCCAAUGAUGAAAAUUUAAUGGCCGCAGUAUACUGACUGUGCAAAGGUAGCAUAAUCAUUAGUUUUUUAAUUGAAAGCUUGUAUGAAAGGUUUGAUGAAAAAAGAAUUGUCUCUAAAUAAAAUUUUUGAAUUUUAUUUUUAAGUUAAAAAGCUUAAAUUAGUAUUGAAGACGAGAAGACCCUAUAGAGUUUUAUUUAUGCAAUAAUAAAUUAAGUUUUAGGAUUUUAAAUUUGUAUUAUUAAGUAAAUUUAGUUGGGGUGAUUGAAAAAUUUAUUAAACUUUUUUUUUAUUUAAACAUUUAUUUAUGAAUUUUUGAUCCUUUAUAAGAUUAUAAGAUAAAAUUACCUUAGGGAUAACAGCGUAAUUUUUUUUAGAGUUCUUAUCGAAAAAAAAGAUUGCGACCUCGAUGUUGGAUUAAAAUUAAAUUUUUGGUGUAGAAGCUAAAAAAUUAGGUCUGUUCGACCUUUAAAUUUUUACAUGAUCUGAGUUUAAACCGGUGUAAG